AUUGAACGCUGGCGGCAGGCCUAACACAUGCAAGUCGGACGGUAGCACAGAGGAGCUUGCUCCUCGGGUGACGAGUGGCGGACGGGUGAGUAAUGUCUGGGGAUCUGCCCGAUAGAGGGGGAUAACCACUGGAAACGGUGGCUAAUACCGCAUAACGUCGCAAGCCCAAAGAGGGGGACCUUCGGGCCUCUCACUAUCGGAUGAACCCAGAUGGGAUUAGCUAGUAGGCGGGGUAACGGCCCACCUAGGGGACGAUCCCUAGCUGGUCUGAGAGGAUGACCAGCAACACUGGAACUGAGACACGGUCCAGACUCCUACGGGAGGCAGCAGUGGGGAAUAUUGCACAAUGGGCGCAAGCCUGAUGCAGCCAUGCCGCGUGUAUGAAGAAGGCCUUCGGGUUGUAAAGUACUUUCAGCGGGGAGGAAGGCGAUGUGGUUAAUAACCGCAUUGAUUGACGUUACCCGCAGAAGAAGCACCGGCUAACUCCGUGCCAGCAGCCGCCGUAA
rnacentral:rRNA from 1 species